rnacentral:siRNA from 1 species
AGGAAAUGUAUGGCCUUCGGAC